AUGAUGACAUGUGCCACAUGGGCUAUUCUUAGCCAAUCAUUUUGAUGAUGUGGACACCCUCUUAAUCAAGGUAAUUCACCUUAAGCGCCAAACUCUUUUCUUUUAAUCUCCUCUCUCACAUUCUCAGUUCUCACGUUUUCUCAAAAAACCCUAAAUCAUCUACCGCCGCUUACCACUCUCCACCAUCACAUUCUUCUAUAUGAAACAAUUCUACAUGAUUCGAUCGAAACUGAAUUAAAGGUAUCACUUGAAGCUUUCACAAAGCCUAAUUCUCAGCGAGUCGAUUCUCAUGUAUCUAUGAUUCAGAUUCAGAUCCCAUCUAUCUCUGAUUCCUUUCAAAAACUCUACAUCUAUACCAGCCGAUUCUCAUCAAAGCGAUUAUCAUAAACCCUAAAUAAACCCUCAAUUGGAACCAGUCGAAUGCUAAUCCAUAAUGAUGAACGAAAAUGGCCAGAAUAUGGACCCGGGUUCGUGCGUGUUGGUGGGUUUGUACUGUGGAGAUGGUGGUGAUAAGAAAGCUUAAUCAGAUAAUGCUUGCUUAUAGAUAUUAUGAACUUGAACCAUAAACGAUAAAAGAAGACAUAUUGGAUGUUGUUAGCUGGAACGGUAAUAUUUACUCCGCAGUUAGUAUUUGGUGCAAACGCAUGCCGAAGGUUUUAUAUGAUACAAUUUGUACAUUGACAGAACUCAGGUAUUUUGUUUUUCAUGGUAACUUUUAUGCUGAUGGGGCUGAAGCAUACCAAAUGGAAUUUUGGAUCAGACAUAUUGAUGGAUCACGUUUCAAAUCAGAUGCAGAGAGACAGAAAGUGAUACAAUUUUCUUGAAGUAGCGAUAUAGAGAAGAGUUUCCGCGGAGCUAAAGAUAUAGAUACACACGAAAGACAGAGUUGGGUUAUUAUCUGACGCUAUGCACUUAAUAGCAUGCUAUAACGAUGUUAAUUCUUACAAGGUCACAUAGUUGAUCUAAAUAAACACUACAAAUCCAUGUUGUUUGAUUUUCUUAACGGGUCAGACUAUCGCUUGGAUUCUUGGUUAGCUUGCAGGUGACAUUUCAUGGGUCAGGUCGCCACAUGCAUUUGUAACUUCACUUAAUCUUUUAAUCUUUUUAGUUUAAUGUUUUCUUUGUAAAAAGCUCAAAUUCAAAACCGUUAGGGUAGUGUAUGAAGCCAACUGGGAGCUAGGGGAGUGUUUGUUAAUUUCUUUUUCCCUUUUAUGUCAAUGUGGUUAACCAUUUUAUAUUACGGAUCUAAAAAGGCGAUGAAGUUGAAUCAGAAACGAUGGCGUACUUUUAUGAAAUUAGUGAAGACGUGUCAACCAUUGCAGGUUAUGGCGGCGAAGGUUAAUCAGAAACGACGACGUAUUUUGUGAAAUUGGUGAAGAGUUUGUUUCAAACUGAUGGAUGGAUCUGGUUAUCGUCAUGUUUGGCCUCUAUGUAGAUUGACUGAAGA
rnacentral:lncRNA from 1 species